rnacentral:miRNA from 1 species
GUCGGCCGCCGGGGAGAAUAUGUCCUGCUGACUCCGCGGCGCUCGGUAGGCGGCGGUCAUCAGCACAUAUCGCCCCCUGCGCCGGC